rnacentral:rRNA from 1 species
AACGAACGCUGGCGGCAUGCCUAACACAUGCAAGUCGAACGAUACCUUCGGGUAUAGUGGCGCACGGGUGAGUAACGCGUGGGAAUCUACCCAUUGGUCUGGAAUAACGUUGGGAAACUGACGCUAAUACCGGAUAUUCCCUUCGGGGGAAAGAUUUAUUGCCAAUGGAUGAGCCCGCGUCAGAUUAGUUAGUUGGUGGGGUAAUGGCUUACCAAGACGACGAUCUGUAGCUGGUCUGAGAGGACGAUCAGCCACACUGGGACUGAGACACGGCCCAGACUCCUACGGGAGGCAGCAGUGGGGAAUAUUGGACAAUGGGCGCAAGCCUGAUCCAGCCAUGCCGCGUGAGUGAUGAAGGCCCUAGGGUUGUAAAACUCUUUCGGCGGGGACGAUAAUGACGGUACCCGCAGAAGAAGCUCCGGCUAACUUCGUGCCAGCCGCCGCAGUAAAAC